rnacentral:rRNA from 1 species
CCGCAUACGACCGAGAGGUGAAAGCGGGGGACCGAAAGGCCUCGCGCAGCAGGAUGAGCCGAUGUCCGAUUAGCUGGUUGGUGGGGUAAUGGCCUACCAAGGCGACGAUCGGUAGCUGGUCUGAGAGGAUGAUCAGCCACACUGGGACUGAGACACGGCCCAGACUCCUACGGGAGGCAGCAGUGGGGAAUAUUGGACAAUGGGGGCAACCCUGAUCCAGCAAUGCCGCGUGUGUGAAGAAGGCCUUCGGGUUGUAAAGCACUUUUAUCGGGAGCGAAACGCGCCGGGUUAAUACCUUGGCGAACUGACGGUACCCGAGGAAUAAGCACCGGCUAACUCCGUGCCAGCCGCCGCCGUAAGAC